AGUGAACGCUGGCGGUAGGCCUAACACAUGCAAGUCGAACGGCAGCACAGUAAGAGCUUGCUCUUACGGGUGGCGAGUGGCGGACGGGUGAGGAAUACAUCGGAAUCUACUUUUUCGUGGGGGAUAACGUAGGGAAACUUACGCUAAUACCGCAUACGACCUACGGGUGAAAGCAGGGGAUCUUCGGACCUUGCGCGAUUGAAUGAGCCGAUGUCGGAUUAGCUAGUUGGCGGGGUAAAGGCCCACCAAGGCGAGGAUCCGUAGCUGGUCUGAGAGGAUGGUCAGCCACACUGGAAGUGGGACACGGCCCAGACUCCUACGGGAGGCAGCAGUGGGGAAUAUUGGACAAUGGGCGCAAGCCUGAUCCAGCCAUACCGCGUGGGUGAAGAAGGCCUUCGGGUUGUAAAGCCCUUUUGUUGGGAAAGAAAAGCAGCAGGUUAAUACCCCGCUGUUCUGACGGUACCCAAAGAAUAAGCACCGGCUAACUUCGUG
rnacentral:rRNA from 1 species